UACAGAGGGUGCGAGCGUUAAUCGGAAUUACUGGGCGUAAAGCGCGCGUAGGCGGCUUUUCAAGUCGAUUGUGAAAUCCCCGGGCUUAACCUGGGAACUGCAGUCGAGACUGUCUAGCUAGAGUAUGGGAGAGGGAAGUGGAAUUUCAGGUGUAGCGGUGAAAUGCGUAGAUAUCGGAAGGAACACCAGUGGCGAAAGCGGCUUCCUGGUCCAGCACCGACGUUCAGGCACGAAAGCGUGGGGAGCAAACAGG
rnacentral:rRNA from 1 species